CACCUCAAAUUUGUCUCUCUUUUAGACAUUACCCAAUGUGCCAAACUUCCAUGUCCACCCACAAACCACAAACAACUACUCUUCUUUCUUACUUUUUCAAUUUUUUUCUUUACUUUUAUGAAUAUUUUUAGGCCACAAAUACACCCAAACAUAUCUCUAUUUUAUUUAUUCAAUUUUAGUGUAUAAAUUGAUUAAAAAAAAACUUAUUUUAUACUUAUUUUAGUGUACAAAGACAAAGGAAAGAAGAAAGUGGGUAAAGAUGCAAAUCUUUUGAUGGAACUAAGGCAAAUGGUGUUUUGGUAGCCCUUUAAAUGCCUUCUCUUACAUUGUUGCUCCAUUGUGCAAUUCUUUGAGAGAUGAAGCUUUGCCUGCCUCUCUUUUUCGUAUUAACGCUUCUUUUUCUCAUCUUCUCAAAGAAGGUGGUGGAAAUGAGGGGAGAUGGAGGAGGAAGAUGCAUGACAGUGAUUGAUCCAAAGGCAUGCGACUUGAGGUCUUGCAAGCAACAAUGUCUUGAGCAUAAAAAUGGAAAUGGAGUUUGUUUAAGGAACUUCAAAGUGGGUUACCAAUGUGUCUGUUACAUUAAUUGCUUUUUAACUUGAUGGAAAUGCAUUAUCAUAGACAUACAAUCAAAAAACCUUCAGGUUACUUUAUAUUAA